AUUCAAGUUUCAAACUCCGCGCGGCCAUUUUGAAUAUUUGCAUAAUAAGUAGGUAAAUCGAUAUAACCAAAAAUAGUAAUAUACGGCACUUUUGCCCAAUCGAAUUGCAGCUUGUAAUUGCGUACUGUCCCAGAAACAGAAACACAGUGUGACACAAUCGACUUUCAUGUCGGGAGUUAACAGCUUGCUUUCUGGAGUUCGCUUGCUUCGUUUUCUUAUAAAAGCUUUUCAAGGCAGGAACCCGGAAAAAAUCCCCAGCCUGAGCCAGGAUUCGAACCUGGGCCACAGCGGUGAGAGGCCGACGCGCUAACACACUAGGCCACCCGUGCUUCCACAGUCAAGUGCUUCCACAGUGCUUCCACAGUCAAGGCAGGAACCCGGAAAAAAUCCCCAGCCUGAGCCAGGAUUCGAACCUGGGCCACAGCGGUGAGAGGCCGACGCGCUAACACACUAGGCCACCCGUGCUUCCACAGUUUAUCGUAGUAUCCGUUAUUGAAAUGAUUUAUACACUUUUUUUCGUAGCCAUUCUAAUCCGAAUUUCGAGGCGAGAUAGGGGAAGGAAGGGCCCAUUACCAUGUGACGAUAAUAGUUUAUGCAGGCUUACAACUGGUGUCUACAAAACGAAGACCUAAAACCUGUGACCCCAAAAGCUACGACCCCAAAAACAACGACCCCAAAAAUAUUGCUGUUAUUAUUUAACCUACCUUAACAACAUAAAAUCAAAAUCUG